AAAUAAACAUUAAAAAAAAAAAAAAAGAAGAAGCUUGAACGUAUUGUUAGGGUUGAAUUGUGUCCCCCUCUCAGAUUCAUAUGCCCUAACCCCCAGUUUCUCAGAAAGUGACCUUGUUUGGAAACGGGGUCACUGUAGGUGUAAUUAGUUAAGAUGAAGUCAUGCUGGAGUGAAGUGGCCCCUGAUCCAAUGUGACUGAUGUCCUUAUAAAAGAGAAAAUUGGGGGGCACCUGUGUGGCUCAUGAGUUAAGUGACUGACUUCAGUUCAGGUCAUGAUCUCGCGGUUCAUGGGUUUGAGCCCUGGGUCGGGCUCCACACAGACAGUGCUGACCCUGCCUGGAAUUCUCUCUCUCUGCCCCUACCCUGCUCAUGUGUGCACGUAUGCUCUCUCUCUCUCUUUUUCUCUAAAUAAAUAAAUAAAUAAAUAAACCUAAAAAGUAUGCGCUCUCUCUUUUUCUCUAAAUAAAUAAACCUAAAAAAAAGAGAGAGAACAUUUGGAUACAGAUAUAUGGAUAGAGGGAAGACCAUGUGAAGACAUAGCCAUCUAUAAUCUAACAAAAAAGGCCUGGAACAGUGUUCCUACAGCUCUCAGAAAUAAUCGGUGCUACCAAUGCCUUGAUUUUGGACUUCUGGCCUCCAGCACAGGGAGAAAGCACAUUUCUAUUGUUUGAGCUGCCCAGUCUAUGGCAUUAUUUUUUAUGGUAGCCCUAGCAUUAAAUCCAAAAGGGCAUAAAGGACACCUGGGUGGCUCAGUCGGUUGAGUGAUCAACUCUGGAUUUCAGCUCAGGCCAUGAUCCCAGGGUUGUGGGAUCAAGCCUUUUGUUAGGCUCCAUGCUGGGCGUGGAGACUGCUUGAGAUUCAUUCUCUCUUUCUUUUCCUUUCUCUCUCUCUUUCUCCCCCUCUCAUUCUGCUCCUCCCUUGCUCUCAUUUUCUCUCUCAAAAUAAAUAAAUAAACUUUAAAAAUACAUAUAUACGUAUAUACAUACAUACAUACAUACAUAAUAGCUCAAGGAAGGAUGUCCCCCUCAGCCACAUCCUCUCUAACCCCCUUCAGGAUAAUCCCCAUGGACGUGCAGGGUGCACAAUGCUCUAACCUCCAUUCACUAGACUCAUCCACCUGGGCUCUGCAUACAUAUUAGGUUCGCUGAUGAGAGACAUUCGUGUGAUCUACAAGGUGGGACUGAGGUGGAGGACAGCUGUGGCUGCUCCUGCUGCUGGCAGCUAUGUGUAGCUGUGACCCACCACAACCAAUUGCUAAAUCUCUUCCUGGGUGUGAGAUGUGUCUGUGGCAGUGGUGGCCUGGACAGUGAUGACUUUUGAAUCAAAGCCACAGUGGUGUACCCUCUUACAGAUCAGUCCGGGCAUAGUGUCUGGCUUCUCUAGUCUUCCAGUGCAGCAUGCACCCAAGCCCCUCUAUUCAAUACUUUUUCUGGAAAUACCUUGAGGGGCUUCCAUUUCCUACACUAGAUCCUGAUUGAUAGAAAUAACUUGGUAAGUUUUAUUUCAGACCUUUCUGCAGAGAAUUUACAUAAUAUGUAUUGGUUUCCUAUUAAAACAAGAAAGUUAACACUUAUUCAUUGUGCAAAUUUGGGUUAUCACUUUAGAGUAUACAAAAAAAAAAGAAUCACUUAACAUUUUUGAGGUUUUCCUAUUAGAUCUUUUCUCUGUGAAUAUAUACAUCCCCUUCUAAGCUGCACUCAUGCUGUGUAUAUGGUUUUGUAACUUGCUUCCUAUUCUUAUCGAUACUUGAACGGUGUCCCAUGUUGUAGAAUUGUCUUCAGUAAGAUGAUCUUUAGUAAAUACAGCAUACAGUGCCAUAGUUCAUUUUUUCUCUUAAUUCAUUUAUUUUGUGAAAUGGAUAAUAGAUAUAAAGGAGGUCAUUAGCAUAUGUACAGUUUAAGUUGUAAUUAUAAUAGGAAGGCUCAGGUAAAGUAACAAUAUUUACUGCAUCCCAGAAAGCCUUUUCUUGACAGAUUCAACCACUAUACUGUCUUUAUGAUAAUUCUCUCCUUUUUUUUCUUAAUAGUUUUACCAUCUCUGGAUUCAUCUUUAGACAAUUAAAUGUUGUUUAAUUUGGCUGUUUUUUUUUUUUAAUUUGAUGUGCAUAGAAACAUAAUGUCUUCCUGCUGACUUUUUUCAUUCAUUUGUAGGUUCAUCUAGUGUCACGUUUAACAAUAGAUUAUUAAUUUUCAUCGCUAUAUAUGGUAUUCUUUUUAUCAGUAUGUACUUACUCCAUUUAUUCAUCCACUUUUACUGUUGAGAACCAUUGAGUUGUUUCCAAUAUUUGGCUAUCAUGAGCAAUGCUAUUAUGAACAUUCUUGCAUAUGAAUCCUAGCAUACAUCCAUUUCUACUUAUGAGAAUUGUUCCUAAGACAAUAGAUGUGUCAUCAACUUGAUUAGAUAAUGCCAAACUUGUUUCCAAUGUGUCUAUCCCAAUAUACAUUCCUGUCAACAAGAGAUGGGCCCUCAUUCCUCCCUGUGUUCACCAACACUAGGGAUCAUUCUUUAGACUUGAAAAUGUCUUACUCCUCUACUGGUGUGUGAGAGUUUCUCAAUAUGGUUUUAGUUCACAUGCUCCUGAGUACUAAUAAAAUUGAAUGUCUUUUCAUGUUUAAUGGACAUUUAAAUUUCCUUCAUUGUGGAAUUCUUGUUGAGAACUUUUGCGCAUUUGCUGUGGGUCAUCUGUCUUGUUCUUAUUGGCUUGUAGGAGUGCUUUACGUAUUCCAAAUGUAAGUAUUUUGUCAGUUAUAUGUGUUGAAAAUAUCUUUUCCUGGUCUAUGGCUUGUCUUUUUGUUCCUUUUAUGAUGCCUUUUGAUGUGCACAAAUUUAUUAGUCUUUGCCUUUUUGGUUAGUACAUUUUUGGGAUCUUGUUUAGGAAACCUUCCCUAACCCCCAGAUCAAAAAGAUAUUCUCCCAUGUUAAUUUCUAAAAGGAUUAUGGUCUUGUUUUUUUACAUUCAGGUGUUUAAGCCACCUGUGAGUUUUCUGCGCACGGCAUAAGGUUGGGGUCAUAUUCUACUCAACUUUGAGUGUCAGCACCAUUUAUUGAGAAGUCAAUCCUCUCCCACAAAUCUGCAGGCCACCCUGUAAACAUUUCAUGUCUGCAUAUGCACAGACCUGCUUCUGAGCUGUUUAGUCUGUUCCAUUGAUCUCUCUCUCUCUCUCCCUCUGCCCAGGCUUUAUUUACACAGUCAUUAUUACAGAAAAGUGUAGGCAGAAUCAUGUUGUGAAGACAAGUGUUUCCUCUACACCACUAUUUCCUGUUGCCCCAUGUUGUUCCCUCACUCAAACAGCUGGCCUAUGAGACACCCAUUUCCUCAAGGGAUUGUUGUUGCAGCAGAACAUAGAUGAUAAAUAGUCAAGGUUCUUGACUUUUGAAUUUCAAAAAAAAAUUUUUUAGUGUUUAUUUAUUUUUGAGAGGGAGAGAGAAAGAGUGCAAGCAGAGGAGGAACAGAGAGAGAGGGAGACACAGAAUCUGAAGCAGGUUCUAGGCUCCAAGCUAUCAGCACGGAGCCUGAUGUGGGGCUUGAACUCACGAACUGUGAGAUCAUGACCUGAGACGAAGUCGGACGCUUAACUGACUGAGCCACCCAGGUGCCCCUUGACUUUUGAAUUUCAAAAGGAUACAGAUAAGUCAGAGAUGAGAUGCCCCUGAGAGGACAUAAAAAUCCCUUAGGUGAGGAGGAGGAGAAGCAAGGGGCAGAGCACAGGUUGGGGUGGGCUUCCUGUCUCUGGACCAUCUCUCUUGAAUCCUUAGUUUCUUGGGAAUCUAAGAUCAGUGAGAACUGAUGCUCCCAUCCUCAGGAGGACUGGGGAUAUUAGCAAGACCCCAGAUUGAUUUAUCCUUGUGCCUGGCAGUGUUGGGACAGUGAAGCAGAAGAAAUGCAGAAGGUAACAAAUGUUUCCUGAAUAUGGCUAGUGGCACUUCUGGAAGUGAGGAAGGAUGUCUCAUGAAGAGAGGCCUUGCAAUGGAGGACAUGAUAGGGCAACCCAUAGCCAGAGUCUAGGACACCUCAGCAGACACUCCACUCUACAAGGCCUCCAGUAUCUUUGUCAGGUUUUGGUAUUGGGUUAUGCUGGUCUGAAAUAUGAGAUGGGGACAUGUUCCCUCCUUUUCCACUUCCUAACAAUUUCUGUGGGAUUGUUUAUCAUUUCUUCAUAAAAUAUUGAUAUAAUUCACCCCUGAAGCAUCUGGCCUGUUAUUGCUUUUCUCUGGCCAGGUUUUUAAUUGCAAAUUAAAUUUUUUAUUAUAUGAAAGGCUAUUCAGAUUAUCUAUUUCAUCUUGUGUCAAUUUUGGUAAGUUUUGUUUUUAAAUGCUUCCAUUUCAUUUUUGUUAUUGAAUUCAUUAACAUAAAGUUAAUAUUACUCAUUUAAUACAGUAAUUAAUCACUCUAGUAAGUAAUUAUCACUGCAGGAUCUGUAGUGAUAUCCUCUGUUUCAUUUCUGAUUUUAGUAAAUUGUGUUUUGUCCUAUUUUUUUCUUGAUCAGUUUUGUAGUGGUUUGCUAAUUUCUUUAAUAUUUUUUAAAAUCCUUUUGUGAAUUUAUUUUGAGAGAGAGAGAGCAUGCAAGCAGAGGAGAGGCAGAGAGAGGAAGGAAGAAAAUCCCAAGCAGGCUCUGCACUGUCAGCACAGAGCCUGAUGUGGGGCUGAAACUCACAAACCAUGAGAUCAUCACCUGAGCCGAAAUCAAGAGUCGGAUGCUUAACUGACUGAACCACCCGGGCACCCUGCUAAUUUCUUUAGUCUUAAAAAAAAAAAAAAAAAAAAAAAAAAAAAAAAAAAAACCUUUUUUCAAUUUCCAUUGUGUGAAUAAGUUCAUUCAGUGAAUCCUUCAUUUCAGAUAUUAUAUUUUUCAGAAUAUCUAUGAAAUUCUUUUUUCUAUUUUCUAUGUCUCAAUUAAGAUUCUCCAUAUAGUCACUCCUUGAAUAUUUUAUAAUUGCUGCAUUAAAGACUUGUCUGAUCAUUUGGGGCACCUGGGUGGCUCAGUCAGUUAUGUGUUCAACUUUUGCUCAGGUCAUGAUCUCACAGUUCAUGAGUUUGAGUCUUGCAUCGGGCUCUGUGCUGACAGCUCAGAACCUGGAGCCUGCUUCAGAUUCUGUGUCUCCCUCUCUCUCUGCCCCUCCCUGACUCACACUGUCUCUCUCUCAAAAAUAAACAUUAAAAAAAAUUUAAACACUUGUCUGGUCAUUUGAAUACCUGGCUUAUGUCAGGUCUGUUUCUAUGGCCUGGAUUUUCUCUUGACUGCAGGUCACAUUUCUCUGUUUUUUCACACAUGUCUACUAAUCAAAAGUUAUCAGUCUGGUGUGGCAGCCAGCCAAGCAGCAGAUCUUGACAAGAAGCCCCCAUAUAAGUAUUAGAACUUAACCUCAAAGGGGGUCCAGGAUGGGAAUAGGGAGCCAUGACUGAAACUCUGCCAAAGGCACUAAUAAACCUAUGACUGAGAGGGAAAUCUUAGACCUCAUCAGUGAGGUUGUACAAACUCUGGAUUCUGUUAUCUUCCUCUGAAGAGUGUUGAUUUUUGUGAAUACCUGUUAAAUUCCUAGCUGAUCAUCUUGAUUUUGUGGAGCCUCGUUUUUAAUACUUAUUAGGGGCAGUCUGUUUUGAUUUUGCUAUUGGUCUUAGGAUAAAUCUAAGACAAAGUCUUUGCUCCUAAUAUGCAGCCCCUCUGGGGUUUUAAUGGAAAUGUCCUUCAACUUAGUGGGAUUCUAACUCCCAACUCUGACUCCACUGCCGUGGGAAGCAGCUGAAAUUUUUGAUUAGCUUUUCCUGCUUAUUACUUUCCACUGUGUUCCUUGGAGUCUCCCCAUUGCAAGCACAGCUCAGGAGUAACUGAUUCCAGGAACAGAGUUGAUGUGAAGAUUUGGGGUUUGCCUCCUUCAUGUCUCCCUGCUUCCUGGGAUUUCCUACUUCCACCUUCAGCUUCUCUGUCAACUCUAAACUCCAUCUUUAAUAAAUAGUAGAACUUUCUGAGUCCCUAUCCCCCCGUGCUCUGUGGCCAGGAGAGUGCUCUCCAGGAAAGAGCAAAAUAAAUAAUAUGUGUAAUAAUAACAAUAUGCAGUUCCCAUCUUCGAGGGUCAUAUCUCCUCUGGUAGCUGCCUGAUUUCUGUCACUCUCCAGGGCCUUCAAACCUUCAAAUAUUUUUUUCUGUGUGUAUGCAUUUGCUGCUUUGUCCAUAGUUUAUCAUCACUAUCAAUGGAAAAAUGAGUCUGAUACAAGGUACUCCACCACUACAGGAACUUUAAUUCUUCUGAAUACUGUGUAUAUUGAAAAUAAAAUGUUUUACUCUACCUAUAUUGAAUUGUAUGCUUUGGGAAUCUCAAAGAAAUUCAGCAUUUAAAAAGGUAGACAAAAAUUAAAAGAUAAAGUAUUUAUGCAUUGUCUUUUUUUAUGGUUCUGAAAACAUCCCAUUCAGUGGGUUCUCACAUCCUGGUACUCUGUGAGUGCUCUAAAUAGAGGACCUUAAAUUUUCCUGACAAGUAGAUACACUGCCUUUUCCACCCCCCAAGACAUGGAUUUGGUGGGGGCGUGGAAGCCUGAUCUGGUGUGAAUUUUGGAUCUGCCAUUUACUAGCUCUGUGACCUUGAGCAUGUCACCAAAACUCUCUGAGCUUCCAUUCCUCCCCUAUAAAUUGAGGUCAGAAUACUGAUCUCACAGGGAUUAAGGGAACAGUAAAUGAAGUAACAUAUAAAAUGCCUGGCACUUAGUAACUGUUCCAUAAAUGUUAGUUUCAUGACUCAAGAGGGAGAGCAUUCCACAUCUCUGAAGUAAGUAAGGUUCUUGUUCCUACAGUUCGUACUGAAAGCUAUUUGAUUGUUUUCACCAAAAAACUGGAUGUCCCAGGCUGUCCGUAUAGAAAUAUUUCAUCUUAGUUAUUUCCCCUUGGCAAAUAACCCAGCCAAGAGCCUAGAAUAGAAGGGAAACUAACACUGGCCCCUGGUGAGUCACAAAGGUGAAUGAGCCUUAGUCUGGGCCAGUCUGGUGUGGCAGCUGGGCUCCCAGCAGUUGGAGACAAGAAGCCCCAGCUAGGAGCUAGGACCUGCAAGGGUGAGCGGAAAGGGGGCCUAGGAUGGGGUGAGGCAGCGUGAUGAAACCCCAUCUAAGAUACCCAGACGGGCCUGAGUGAUGAGAGGGUAACACUGCCACCGAAUCUGCAAAUCUGCUCCAGACAGAGGAGGCCGGUAUUCCAAGCACAGGAUGCCAUCUGGGCCAAAGCUUGCAGUUUCAAGAGGGAUUUCCUGUCUCCUCUUGGGCAGGGAGGUGUGGUGAUGGGGGCAGGGGUUGCUGGGCUCAGAUGAGGCCCUCUGGAGGCCGGCCAAGCAGAGCCUUGGGCCAGUCAGGGCUUAUGUCUGGACUUGAACUGGGGUCGUGUCUAAGCGGGAGAAUAUGGAUUAAGUUUUGUGUUUUUAAAGAAGAGUCCAGUAGCCAAGAAGCAACUGGACUGGAGCAGGAAAUGGGCAGGACCUGCCCAAUGUGGGGCCGCUUUGUGGGGAGACGAUGGGGUGGGAGGAGGGGCCACCCUGGUGCCUUUAUAUCCAGGAGGAUUGAGGGACUUGAUGAGUCACCGGAUACGGGUCUGGAAGGAGUUUUGAGCAACUGCAAGUUCUAGGUGGGGACACAGUGUGGAGGUGACGCGUUGACAGAAACCAAGCGACAGGAGCUGAACCAGGUUCUGUGAAUUCUUUCAUCGAUAGCUGGCCAUUUCAGAGGAGGAAGCGGAGCUCUGGCGCAGGUAACCUGUCCCAGGUCCCCCAGUGGCUGGCACAGUCACACAGGGCCUGGGCCAUCGCCUGUGCGCCUGAUCCCAACCGGUGCAAACCAGUGCUGUGCUAAAGCCAACUCCACAAACACACAAGGAAAGAAGAGAAAUCCUGACCUGAAGCAUUCAUUCACCACACUCCCACCCCGGCCAAUUGCAGGCCACCUGGUGUGAGGUCACCGAAUGGGGGCUGGGGGUGCUGCCCACAGUUGACUGUCGUGAGCCAGUACCAGCCAGUACUCACUGGUACUAGCCUGCGCUAGCCAGCACCAGCCCAUUCCAGCCCACCACUGACCCAAACUGCCUGCUUCUGGGCGGCUUCUCCCACCAGCAUGCCAAACCAAACACCUCACUAUUAACCCAAUUCUUUGUAUGUUUAUUCCCUGCCCUUCCUCCCAAACUCCCUGGGGUUUCUAGAACCAUAGAUUGGGUGCAUCAAAUGGGCCACAGGGAACAGCAGGGUGGACUCACUGUCCCCUAUCUGUCCCCACCCUCCAGGCCUUGCUAUUUCAGGAUGCGUGGUUUGGUGAAUUCUGCUGGAGCCAUAUUCAAGCAGCGAAUCUCCCACAGAGACACUCUUUGCUGAGAGGACAUGGGAAAUAGCUGCAGCCGAAGCGAGCUGGUUUUCACACCCACCUGGCAGCACUCCCACAUCAGCAGGGCCGGGAGCCGCUCACCGUUCACCGUUCAGAGCCCCAUCGCAGCAGGUUCUCGUCCCAAGUGUGUUCGUGGCGUCACCGUCUGCAGACAGGCUCAGUUUGCACAGCAUCUGUUGUCAAAGUUGGCAACUCCACGUUCUCUCAAACGAUUCCUUUUAAGAUGAUCUGUAGCAUUUUUAAAAUAUGUUGUCUUUUAACUUAGGGGGCGCCUCAGUGGCCGCUUUCAGCUCAGGUCAUGAUCUCAUGGUUUGUGGGUUCCAGCCCCGCGUCGGGCUCUGUGCUGACGGCUCAGAGCCUGGAGCCUGCUUCGGAUUCUGUGUCUCCCUCUCUCUCUCCACCCCUUCCCCUCCCGCUCUCUGCCUCUCUCUCAAAAAUAAACAUUAAAAAAACUGUUUACUUUUUUAUUUUUGAUAGAGACAGAGAGAGGACAAGUAGGGGAGGGCAGAGAGAGAGUGAGAGACAGAAUCCCAAGUAGGCUCCACGCUAUCGGCGCAGAGCUGGAUGCGGGGCUGGAACUCAUGAACUAUGAGAUCAUGACCUGAGCUGAAACCAAGAGUCAGACGCUUAACUGACUGAGCCACCCAGGUGCCCCUAUCUGCAGCAUUUUAGUGCCAAACCUAUGCCGGUCUGUACAUGCCAUAUUUUCUCCCCAAUCUUGCAGUUUGUGGACAUUCUCCUCUUAAUUUGGGACUGUGUGGAGGCAGCAGAGGCCAACAUGUGGUGCCAGCAAUAGGGCAAGCGGAACCCUCCCGACCGUGCAUUUCUAUGGGGAAAGAGGGGAUGGGCUUUGGGGUGAAAUGGAGUGAUUCUGUGAGAAACUCACCUCCCAAAGCAACACGGGAGCAGCUGUUGGCUGCAGCAGUGACUGUGAGGGGAAGGGCACCUCCUUGGCCAGGAGGUGAGAGAGGUGACCCAACACUGUGGGGCAGGAGCCAACUGGAGGGUCCCCAGUGGGGUGGGAAAUGGAAGCCAAGGCAAGCAUCCUCCUAGCUCAGGGGAGACCUGGCAGCCAGGGUUAGCUCCUGAGCAGACACAGUGGCCAAGACUGCCUGGCACCUCCCCACAGACCCAGGGGACACCGUCUGGGGCUGGACAGGGCUUUUCUAUCCCGCCAAGCUGGCAGGACACAAAGGUCACAUCCUCAUGAGGACGUGGCCCAGCCAGGGACUGCGCUGAGAGCCCGCCUCUCAAAGAAACUGGGCCUGGCGAGUUUUUGCUGGAAGCCACAUCCUUUUGGGAGAAGGAAAGGCCCGUCCCCAAAUCUAAUUUUUAAAGAAAGCCCAUGAAUCAUAGCCUAAACGGCUCCGUUACCCAUGACUGCAUGGUGAUCCACUCGGCCCUCUGCCUGCUCCAGCCGCCGGAAAAGCCGUGAAGGUCCCUGUCAUUAGCACUGGCCUUCCCUGAGCCCAAGACACUCUCUCAGAGAUCUCCAGCUCGGUGGGGCCCAACAGUGAGCUUCCAUGAGAUACCCCACAUCUCCCCUCAUGGCCUGCUCCUACAAGUGACCAUUCAGUCCCCAAUACUAGCCCACAGCCAAUACGGCCUUCGAACCCAGUCACAGGCUUUGGUGCCCAAGCAGCACAGAUGUCAAAUGACAAUACAUCAUUAUGAUAGAAGUAUAUAAUGAAUCCUCAAAGCUUGCCUGGAACAUAGGUAAGUGGUCAGUAGUUUCAUCUCUGAAUAUUGAGAUUAAUUCCCAUCUGUGUGAAAUGGACCCAUCGCCCACCCCAAAAUGCAGACUCCCUUCCGGCUGCACAGAGGGAUGCCUGGCGCCUCUGGUCACGUCCACACCUCGCCCGGCACCCCCGCUGCCUUGUGAAGUCUGGAAAGAGCCGCUCUUGAUCUCAAGCUGGCCACGUCCAUUCCUGACCCCUGCCCUUCAGUCUCCUGGGAUGAGCGCCUGUGGCCCAGGGGUGGAGAAAUGUACCUUAUUCCCAAACAGGCCAUCUGUCUGGAACUUGCGUCUCUUCGCUCCCUGCCUGACUCAUCAAUAAGUCUGUCUGCCUCUCUUCUCGCUUCGUAGUGAUUCGGUGGUGUACUCUCAGAGUGCCUGUUCCCAUGGGAUGGCGUAACCAAGAUACCGUGUGCAAUAUGCCCGUAGUAUUUCUUGAAGGCCAGUUGGCUGAGUUCAAGUUUAUUUUUAAAAGGUUUUAUUAGAAGUGCUGGUAGGGACAAAAUGUCAGCGUUGACCAAGUAAAAUACCAAACGACUUAGUGUUGUGUCAGAAAUAGCCAAACACCGAGUCCCAAGGCCCUCGAGGUGGAUGGCCCACUUCCGGGAAUCUGACGGUCCAAGUACAAAAUGCUCACUGCAGUGUUACUUGGGAUACAAUAUGGGGCACUCGGGAUGGUCAACACUGGGAAAAUUCUCAACUUUAACAGAGGAGGCAGCCUCUAAUGGUGAUUUCAAAGGACCAAAAAAGGGGUUUUAAGGGUAUGUGGUGUGGGAGCAAGGAGAAAGUUGCCCCACUGAACAUACGCCAUUGCAUCAAACUGUAAGUGCGUUACAAAAACUCCAGAGGAACCUGCCAAAGUGGGAACGGGCUGGUGGAAGAGGAAGAUCUUUCCUUCUUGACUCAAUUUCCCUGUAUACAUAUUUUCAUAUUGUGAUUAAUUACACUGCUAUUCACAAGGGGAGACAGAUUUAAAAGUCCAAAAUGCUCCCUUCACAACACCUUGAAUGUGUAUUCUAGAACAUUUCUAGCUUUGGGAGGGCAUUCUGAACCUAUGAUUGAGGUUUCCCUUUUAGUUUUGUAACAGGAGGUAAGCCUCUGCCUAGAGAAAGCCCCGAACUUAAUUCAGAAUAAAUUUGAAGGUACCUUUGAGAUUUGGCUCUAACCGUGUUCCUUCCUCCAGUGGGAAUGUGUAUGUAGCAUUAAGCUGGGUAUGCAGUGGGCUGUGGCCCAACACAGAUGUUGAGUUGCAGCACAUCAGCAAGAGGAAAGAGAAGGUGGCAGGCCAGAGGCAUCACCGGCUCGUGAUAGAGGGAAAUUCAUUACAGAUGCAUUUAAGUAGAUUCCAGAGCUUACCUAUUUUGCAUCACUAAAUGGUUUGAUCAAUUUCUUAUACUUUCUCAUUAGAUAUCAAGUCAGGCAUAGGGGUGCCUGAGUGGCUCAGUCGGUUGAGCGUCCAACUUCGGCUCAGGUCAUGAUCUCACAGUUCACGAGUUCGAGCACCACAUCGGGCUCUGUGCUGACAGCUCAGAGCCUGGAGCCUGCUUCAGAUUCUGUGUCCCUCUCUCUCUGCAAACCCCCCUCACUCGUGCUCUGUCUCUCUCCCAAAAAUAAAACAUUUUUUAAAAAGAAAAAGAAAUCAGUCUGGCAGAGGCACCUGGGUGGCUCAGUCAGUUAAGUGACCGACGCUUGAUUUCAGGUUAGGUCAUGAUUUCACAUUUCAUGAGAUCCAGCUCCGAGUUGUGCUCUGUGCUGACAGUGCAUACCCUGCUUGAGAGCCUCUCUCUGCUCCUCCCCUGCUCAUGCUCUCUCUCAAAAUAAAUACAUAAGCUAAACAAACAGUCAGGAACAACUCAUCAGCCAGACAAUCGUUUUAAAGAAAAUGCAGCUAGAAUGUUUUCCAAAGGACAAAAUUUUGUGGGUUUUCUUUUAAGUUUAUUUACUUUGAGAGACACAGGAGAGAGCAUAAGUGGGGGAGGGGCAGAGAGAAUCCCAAGCAGGCUCCAUACUGCCAGCACAGAGCCCGACAUGGGGCUCAAACUCAUGAAACCGUGAGAUCAUGACCUGAGCUGAAAUCGAGUCAGAUAUUUAACCAACUGAGCCACCCGGGUGUCCCCAAAAUUUUGUUUUUGAUUGUUGUAGUAAGACAUGAAAACCUUCAAAACUGGAAUAUAAUUAAUGGUAAAUAAAUGCAUUAAAAAGUAUGUGACAACAGGCAUGUAAAUGGUUUAACUCAUUGGUGACAAGCUGGCCCUUAAUCUGGUUUGCCGUACUGCUGAAGGUUUUUCUUUCUUCCCCCUUCUCCGAUCCACCCCCUUCACAUCUCUGCAAAAACAAAAACAAAAACAAACAAAAAAAAACCCCAAAACGCUGAAGCAUAGCAAAACUAACAUGAGAAGUUUUUUUUCCCCCCUACUGGAAGUCAUACAAAAUGAGUUGCUGUAAUUUGAUCCAAAGCAUUGCAACAUUUACACUUCAACUGCACUUGUAACAAGUUUGACGAAGCAGAUUUGGUAUGAGCAGCCUUUUCCUUCAAAUGGAACAGAAGCCCAUCCUUUCAGGGCUUGAAGAGCACAGUGGGACCCAUGGAGGUAGGGUACAGGCCUGUGCAGCCACCAUAGCAAACAGGUCCCCUCCCUGCUGGCCCCCAGUCACUGCGGCACAUAAGCUCCUUUGCAGCACAGAUUACAGCAAUUUAUAUGCAGUAACACAGCCUAAUCCCCCAGGGCGGGCGCCAGUGCAGGUGCAGGAGGGCUGGCACUUGCUCCCCACCAUGACAAGAAAGCACAAGGGGAGACCCUGAAGUCUGGGGCCAGGGCAGAGCCCCUCAGCGGCUGACAGAGUCCAGUGGGCAGGCAGCCCCGCAGGUGACAGUUCACCUUCCUGGAGGAUGGACUUUUUGUUGAAAGGCAAGAGACCUGGUAUCAGAAUGCCUCUGAAAACCUACCAUUCCCCUUUACUGUCGUCCUCCUCCACGUGACCCUUCAAGGGCAUAGGAUUGAGGCAAAAUGUGACUGUCAUUUUGCUCAAUCGCACGUGACAAUAGUAAGCAUCUCUAGCCUGCUGGGAGUGAAGAUGUGCGUUAGGCGCGUCCCUGCACCUGCUGUCUGAGCAGCAGAGGAAGCACACGUCCGCUGAAUUGGGGGUGAGGCUGGGCCAGCUUUGUGAAUGGGAUGCGUCAAAAGGCUGGGCAGGAAGGGAGCACAGUCUUGGCCCACAGAGAUCAAGAGCUUGAUCCCGCUGGGUUAUUGGGAGUUUGGGGAGACUAGGGAAAGGUCAGGGCUACUUCUGUGUCCCCCCAGCUGUGGGUGCACCAGCAGCACCUGCCCCUUCUCCCCUCAGCACCCUGUGAAAGGGAACGCAUCCCCUUCACUCCCAGCUGUCACUCUGCAGCCAAGAGGGACGGACAGUCGUGUGACCUAUAGUUUGUGACACGUGGCCCUGUCUGCAAACACCAAAGUCCUGGAAUACUAUGGUCCACAUGCAUACUAUGGCCUCAUGUUGGCCCAGAAUAGCAGGACUGGGAAAGCAAUCCCACCUUCCAGAGGUGAGGUGCCAUGAGCGUCUGCCCCACAAGACUCUCCCACUCCCACUCUGGACAGAGCUCCCACACGUGUCCCCACAACGCCCAAAAGCCCACCGGUUCCGCCCUGCCCUCCAGAAAUAUGUCCACCAGUCAUGAGCGGACCAGGUCCACCUCUGUCGUGUGGUAAGAAGAGGCUCACACAGGCCCACGUGCCCAAGCAAGCAUGUGGUUGUCAUUUGUGUAAAUGAAUUGUUUCAAAUGCUACCAAUCUAGUUCACACACGUUUCACACCGCCCAUUCCCCACCAGGACACACAAAGCCGGUGGUUCUUUGUGGGAGGGACCUCAGGGCUGGACGGUUAGAGGAGGAGGAAGGCUCCAUUUCCCCCCUUUGUGCAGCAUUGUGAUCUCUUCCCCCUUCCAACCAUCUCCACGUAUUCUUCAUUUCUAGAUACUGUUAACAAGGGCUAUCUGGUUUGUGGGGUUAUGGGCCAUUUCAAUACUUCUCUAUAUUUAAAAUAAAGCAAUGCAUACUAAGUAUAAAUAAAGUAACAAUGAAACAAAGCGUAUCUCAAGUAGAAGGCCUUCAGAGGUUUAAGGGAAGAAGCAAUUACUUCCAGGUCAUGGGUAUGGAUGGGCCACAAGGUCACAGCCAAUGCAGGGACAGGUAGGCAGGUCAGCUGGACAUUCCACUGGGAGGAACGCAUACAGACGGGGCACCAUGCACUAACAGCAAGGCUGGGGACAGCGUAGGACACAGACAAGAGGGCUCAACGUGCCAGGGUACCGCUGGGAAGAGAUCCAGAUGCACUCGAGGGGCUGGAGUGAGGGAGACAUUAUCACAUGACCAUGGAAUGAAGUCCAGCUGGGUCACAUCUAUGCUGGAAGGGUCCAGGAUGAACCCAGAGUGGUCAGGGCGAGAGUUUCAGUUGGCUCCUGGAGAAUGAGUCCGGGUGGCCAGCGGAGUGGUGUGCAGAGAGAGCUCCAGACAGAGGCCAGAGCAGGAAAGAGACUGAUGACCCCACAAACUUAGAGCCCAGUUUGGCUGGAGGCUCCUGAGGAGGGGGCUCACAGAGUCUUCUCCCAGGCAGGAAGACACUAAAGCUGCUGAUUGAGAAGAGGGAUCCUGGCGGGAUACACGAGGAGAGGCCAGGAGGAGAGUGAACCAGGAGGCCAGUGAGCACAGAGUCUGGGCAUGGCACCACCAAAGAGGGAACCAGAAGGAAGGGGUCCAGCAGCAUUCCUAAAGACUGAAUCUCGAGGAAGGGAGGGCAGCACCUCCGUAAACAUCCACACGACAUCAGGAAGUGGAAUAGACGAGCACGAGUGGGAGUAGGAAGGAAACGGUGAACUUGAACAAAGCGUCACCAAGACACUGGAUGGCCAUUCAAGCUUGAGAAGGAAACUGCUCAUACCCCGUCCUAAAUCCCUCUAGUUAGCUAGCAUGAUGGAGAACUUACUUUGUCAUCAGGACGCAUACUGUGCUCUUCCUUACUGAAGAAUAAAAACAUCUGUGCUUUUUUUCCAAAGGAAAACUAAACAUCCCCACAAAGUAAAUGACAAUUAGGCUGAAUGGCAGCAAUCCCUCCCGAAAGCACAAUGUUAUUAUACUGGGUCUUAACUGUCAUUACACGGUAAGUACCUGUCCCGGACUGGAAGUGGCAUCCACACAGCUUGCUCCCUUGGCAUCAAAGAUCUAAACUUUUUUUGAUUCUUGGAUUAUAGAGCAACCAUACACAAUUUAUCCUGUAGUUAGAUCUAGCCUAAAACCCCGAGAACGUUCGUGCACACAGUAGCACGUGGGCACUGGUUAAAAUGCAGAUUCCAAUGGGCGCAGUCAGUCCAAUAUGGGGCCAGGAAGGUGCAUCCGUACCAGGAAGCCAGAUGGGGCAUGGAGUGGGUUUGAAGACCCUUGUUCUAGAGAACAGAGAAUGGACAAGCUGAAGAGGAACAAAGGACAGAUUCACUGGAGGGGGGUGGGGGGAGAGGAAGAGGCACCUGAAAGUUUCAUUUCACUCCCAAACUGCAUUCUACAUAAAUAUUCCCCCUGAAAUAACUUGAAAAACUUUAUAAAUCAGUGUUUCAGUUUUUUACUCUCCAAAUGUUAUACAAUUCUUUAGCUAAAACAGGAGUAAUGAGACAAAAUGGUCCUGAAAAGUACAAUAGAAAAAUACUGUUGACUGGUUUAUUUUCCCGAAUGAGCAACAGACUAUUUACAAAUAAGCAGAUCUCCAACGAUGUGUAUUAAAAUGGCAAGUCUAUUACUGUUUGAAAUCUAAAUGAAAAAGAAAAUUUAUUAAGGCACAUUUGAUCUGUGAGUUUUUAAAACAAACGAACUUUCUGGUGUAAUGACAGAUUUCACUUUUGUCCCCAAAACAUGUGAGCACCAAAAUUGUCAAAGAACACUUAAUAUUUAGUAAAACAGUAAGGAAUGUAAAAAUUGAGGAGGGAAAAGCAUUUUCAAAAGGAAAUCUUUGGAGAUCAGUUUACUGCAAAUAAAAUAACACUAAACACACUCCUGAUACACAUAAAUACUAAUAGCUAAACAGGUACUUGAGAAAUGGCCGAGCUCUAAACAAUGGAUAUUAAAUAAAUUAAAGGUAUUUCAGAUACAAAGAAUAAAACAAAACAGUAAUUAAAGAUUGAAACAGCCAACUCCACCGAUGUAACACAGACAGGAUGAACAAAACCAAAAUACAUUUUCCCCCAAUGCUUUCAUUAGGGCGGGUUUUUGUUUCUGUUUUAGCUUGUGUACAUUAGAUUUAUUACAAUAAUUCUUCUUUGCCAUUCCAAAUAUUAAUAGUGUACCCUUUAAAGAUGAGAAAAAACAAAAAACAAAAAACCAAAUCCUUCUUGGAAUUUAAUGCCAGGUCCAUUAAGCCACACAAAUUACGACGACAGCCAUUCAUCUUACUGUGCCUUUCUCCCCUUGCUUUUAAAACAACUCCGUGACCACAAUGAGCACAAGUUGAGGGAAAGAAUCAACUUUGGAAAGCUCUCCCGACAAUGAUGAUACGGCUUAUUAUCACAUUUCCUUAUUUUACAAUUAGAACAUGAAAUGGCUUAAAAAAAAAAAAAUCGCCAUUGAAAAAAAAAAAAAGACAAAAGGUCGAAUCUGUGCAACAUUACCAGUUACAACAAAACAUGUACCAGAGUUACAGUGUUCUGUUACAUUAAUACUUUGCAGGAACGUUCAUGUUUUCUACCAUAGGACCACAGCAAAGGGGUCUGAAAAGAAACGCAUAAAACACAACGAAACACGACAAGAAAGUUCUGUCCAUCAGGUACAUUUCAAGUCAUUAUCAAGCAGGCCUGCUACAUGACGUUCAGCAAGAAAAUGUGCUCAAAGGCAAACAUGAUCACAUUUUUGUUCAAAAAGCUCAAUCAUCAAGGAGUCCUUUGUAAGAAAAUCAUGUGUAAAAUAUAUCCUUGUAUGGACUUCGAAAACGGAUCAUACAAAAAAUUUUUGAAAAAUAAAUUAGAUAAUUAAAAACGUCUCUUCCAGCAAAGCUGGACCUUAGGCUGUCCUCACUGAGCCACUGUUAUUGCUGUUUUUACUGUAACUUGGGUCGUUUUUUUCCAGCCACAUUUCAGCCAGCUGCUGUGUGGACCCAUAUGUGGAUGCUUUGGACCCCAAGCACAUUUUGUACUGUUUGGGAUCGAGAUUGGGAUCACAAAAGACAGGAUGGUGGACGUGGACUACUCCCACUUCUUGGCUCCUAAAUGUCUUCAAACCUGCCUGGACAACCUUGUUGAAAAGGUCCACAUCCUCGAGCCCCCAGCCCUGGAUGGAAACAUCAAAGCCGCCUACUCGGACAAGAUCUCCCUUGUAAAUGCAAGUAAUGCCAAACCCAUAGUUUCUCCAGAAGCCAGUUUUCUGAGUGAAGGCAAAAUGGUUAUCACUGGGAACUUUCCCACUAUAAACAAUCUUUGGAUCGUACUGGCUAAAGAUGAUUGGAAAAUAUAUCUGUUGGCCCAGAACUGUGUUUGCUCGACAUCGUUGAAGGAAUUCUGUAGUAAACACGAGGUCAACGUCACAGAAAAAGAGCAGAGACUCGUUACUGAACUGGGAAGACCCUACUUCAAGGGCCAGAGCUCUUGAAAACUCUCCAGACACAGGCAAAAUCUGCAUGUCAGCUUUAGGGUACUUAAUGCGAUAAUCUCUCAUGAGUUCAACUUGUUUGGCCUUGUCAGGGUUCGAGUCAGAAUUGAAAAGCAGAACCACGAGCUUGACGUUCUGAUUGGGAAUGAGACACGUCUUCUCGAAGUUUCCCAUGAAUCUCACAAACAUGUCGAAACGCCCAGACAAUGGAAUCAAUAUAUUUAUCUUUUUCUCUUUGGGUUCUUUGUGCUCGUUCUUUGAUCCAGGGAGCUGAAAGGGAACAAGUUUCUUCAGGGAAUUUGAGAGAAAGGACAAGGAUCCGGAUUCCUGAUUGAUUUUGUUGGCCAAUUCCUUUGCAUCCAGUUCCUCGUGCUCCACAAACUGGAUCUUGCUGAAGGUCUGCUGUAAAUAUGCGUGUCGCCGGACGGGAACAGUCAUUUUUUUCCCUUUGUGCUUUUUGUACAGAAGGAGCAGGUCCAGGAUGUAUUCGGCCCCAUACAUGGGGUUCACCCGGCGGUAGCCAUACUGUAUCUCCUUGAAGUCAAUAAUGCGUCCUCUGGUCUUGGCAUUGGCAUUGAUCAUCUCCAUGACCUGCAUGACAAUGUCAUCCAGGGCCUCCCUCUGAGCGGAGUCCAUCCCUCUCCGAGGCGGCUGGCCCUCAGCCGCAGAAUACAAGUAUUUCCCAGUCAGAAACUCCCACUCCAGGAUCUCCUCCCGCUGGCGGGGCUGAAACCUCAUGAAGGAAGGUGGGAUUCCCAGCUGGAGGUCUUCUUUGUGAAUCUCCGUGUUGCUGUAUCUGCCCAUCAGGACGAUCUCUCGGUGGAGCUGGAUGGUGCGGUGGCGAAGCUCGGCUAUCUUGCGGCUGAGCAUGUAGCUGUGGAGCCGGUACUGGUAGGGUGGGUUUUUGUUGGGGUGCAGGGUGAUGGCUCGGUGAAUUUUACUAUUAUGGAGAUCUCUAAUGUACCCCUUUUUGUUCUGUUCGUAAUUCUCAUAAAAAAGCUGCUGCAUCUGUUAAGGAAAAAAAAAAAAAAGAUGAUGGCUAGGUUAGUAUCACGUGACUCUGUCCCUCUAGUCUCGCAUUUCCUUACACACCUGCAAAGUCUUCAAAAAAAUCUAAAUAUUUGAAACCUUUCCAAAUGAGCCACCACAGCAUACCAGAAGCCUUAGGUAAAGCCCAAUCUCCAGCAGUCCGAUGGGAUGAAAUGAGUAAGAAAUAUGAACUGCAUCAAGAAAUAAGCCUUCAUCAAUAACCAGAGUUGGCCAGUAUAAUUCUGAAGGCAAACCGAAUUGUAAGAAAGUUUUCCUAUAGAAAAGGUGUAAUCUUCAGAUCACAGUCAGCAUACCUGGAAGAGAAUGUCACUCUGGGUCCCCACCAAGCCCAUGUAAGGGACCCAAGAGCCGAGGUCCCCCCUCCUGAAGACUGGCCCCCAGUGGGAGCUGCUGCCCAGCUGGAAGAGCAGACCCUACAGCUACCCCGACACAGGAAGUGCCCGCAUCGAUGGUGUAAAGAGAAAAACUCCAGGAGCGGGACCUGACACAGGACUAACACUGCUUCCAGGGAGCUGAAGACAAGGAAAGGGGAGGAGGCCUGCCGUCUGGAAGGGCAUGCUGCAGGCGAAGCCAAGGUUCUGCAAGGUCACUGGAAGUGAGCACUUUGACUUGCUUGUUCCUAGUGUCAAGUGCACCUCCCCAUGGCCUCUGUGCAGGCAGGAGAGGGUCUGCUCACUCAGCACCGGGGCUCCAGCACUGGCACAGGGCAGCCCACGGCGGGCUCAGAAUGUCCAGCUAAAAGGCAGGCAACCCAAACGGGCCCAUUAUUCCACCAACUCGUCCCCUGUCCUGGGACACUGGCUUGGGGGGAGCAGGGGAGACAAAGGUUUGAGGUCCAUCAGCCCAAAUGCGGCACGUUCCUUAAGUCAGGUAGAGAAUAUACUUAAUUCCCCUGAACAUCCAAGCAGUGAGAUGAUGAGUAUCUACAAAGCCUUCUGGAACGAAGAAUAAAAAUCUGCAAAAACCAUUCAAUAAUAUUGAAGUUGGUAUGUGAUAAAUUAGUCCUGUUUCAUUUGUGGGUCAUUUUGGGGUUUUGUUCAUAUUGCUAAAUACUAACGCUUGAUAGGGUGAUAUGUAUGUGAACCAAGCAGUUUAUGUGCCUUUGGAAAGUCUUUCUUCUUUUUUUUCUGAGACACGGCAAUCAAUGUAACAGUAAAAUAUGGGUUAGGAUUUUUACAUCCGGCUUUCUUCUUCGAUAUACUACAAACUACCAAUAAAUAAAGCCAAUAAGAAAGAAAAAAAGGGGAAAUACUUCCACAGAAUGGUGACAGAGAUAGAAACAGAGAGAGAAAGACAGAGAGGAAGAGGGGGCAAAGAAUACAGGCCAGGUUCUGAGCAAGGCCUCCACCCACAUUCACUCCCUCACUCAAUUCUCAGGGAGCCACGAGUCUGGCAAAUGCUGACCUUCUCAAACUCGGCCCUUUGCUCUCCUGGACGCCUGUGAGGUCCGUUCGCACAGUAGGACUUAGCCUGGAAUAAGACAACAUCUCGGAAGUGCCCUGUUUCCAACUUUCUUCCCACAAGGUCUGUGAUCAACAUGUGACCUGGGUGCAUGGGAUCAGCCACUGAGGUAGUUCCCAAAUUUUAAAUUAAUUAGAAAAAGCAGUCAGGUGUCAAAGAAGCUAGAAGGCAGGCAGGGUGCUCCCUGACCGGCCUGCAGGGCCCCUCGUAGUUUCUGCUCCCAGGGGAUAGCAUACAACACAGGCACUCACUGAUGUGCGACUUUACACACGUCUUCUGUCAUUUACCAGGCAAUGCGGGAGAGCAAAACUCUAAUGCUGGACUCAAACGGCCAGAAGCAAGGCUGCAGUCCGGGAUGUGCUUAGGGAAAGCAGGGCGUCUGGACUCCCCUUACCACUGCGGGCCCCAACAGCAGCCCGGAGGCCCUUCCUCCAGUUAUCUGAGUCCUGCCCCCACCCCUCCCCUGAGGAUGCCACCUGGGUGCGGGGGAGCUCCGGAAAGGACACAGCGGUGCCCCCACCACCAUGGCAAAGGAAUCAGCAAUGGCCCAGGGCUCCAUGCCUGCGGACUAGUAAAACAACUACUGUACGAGAGACGGAAGGCUAUGUAAUAAUUUAUAUGUAUUUGUUAUGAUGACAUAGUAUUUUCAUUUUGUCCAUUUAAAAUUUUUAACAGUGGGCAUGAAGAACCAUAGCUUGUUUUAAAGGUCUCUCCAUUUGCAAGAAUGUAAACACAAUGAACCAUACAAGCUGCUUUCCAAAAUUAGGUCAGAAGAGCCUGAAGCCGGUGGUGCUCCUUGCCCCUCCGGCCCUUGCCCCCUGCAGACAGCUAGUGCUGCCCAGCCCACCUCUCCAGGGUCUCAGGCCUUCUCUUCUCUCUCCAGGCUGGGCUAUGCCUCCUCAGGGCUUCCCAAUGGGGCUCCCUGCAGAAUUCUGUUCUCCUUCCCUCAGGGCCAUUUUGACACAGUAGCAAAAAUGGUCUUAAAAUACAAAUCAGAGGCUUAUGGCUAAAAAUGAAGUCCUAGAACCCAUAUGAUUCUUUCCAAAUUAUCUCUUCAAAGAGAAGAAAGAAGUAAGAAAGGAAUAAACCCACAAGGACCAAGAGAAUGGGAGAGGAAACAUAGUAGGUAAGAGAUGCCCCCAAAUGCUGAGGACAUGAAAAGGGAGCCAAGGAAGAUGGCAGCUAACGGCCUGCUCUAAACAGUAAGCCAAUGUGCCCUUCAGAACCCCAGGAAAGGUGCUGUGAAAGGCAGGGGUGAGGCCCAGUGCUGGACCCAGCAAAACCAUAGGCACAUGGAGGGAGGAGAGCGCUGGCAGAUGUCCAGCAUCUUCAAAGACAUGCUCCAGGUUACUCUGCCAUUUAGAUGAUGGGGGUGUUGCCCAAAUUCAUGUAGGACUGCCCACCAACUGUAACAGAAUCAGGAUGCGCGAGGAGCAAGUAUUGGAGGUUUCUUAACACGGUCAUCAUUUACAGUAGUUGUUCCAGAAGAGAUCUGUCUACAGGCUCCUUCCCUCACUCCUCUAGGACUUAGUUCACUGAACAGCUGGGCAGGGAUGAAAGCAAGGCUGACAGCUGGAGGGAAAUGAACGUCUAAAGAGCAGGGGUCCCAGCCCUUUCCUCAACUGGGUCUCAGAGCACUCACCCUCCACUCUCCAUUCCCAGUAGGAGACUGGAAGAGUCUUUUCUGCAUCAAUUAAACAUUCCCAUAGAUUAUCUGGAGUCUUCCUGCAAAAGGGAUCGCCCAAGGCCAGAUCACUACAGCUAUGACACUAGUUUAAGGAAUCUUGCCUACAGGGCUUUCAGUUAGCUUCUUCAAUGCCUGAGUCUUCCUUGAUCAUCAAGAGCCAGGGACCAUCAGGCAGCUGAAGGAGGGUUCCAACAGGAAAGAUGGAGACAGAACACAGAAACAAAAGACUGCCGGAAAGAGAAUGCAGUGAACAGAAGAGAAACUCAACAACGGAAACAAAAAACAAACCUGUAGCACAUUCACACAGAAAACAAGGCACUCGUGCAACAAAAACUGAAUACUGUAAAAAAAAAAAAAAAAUCAGAAAAACCAAAAAAGCUCUUGAAAACAUAAAAUAGCCAAAGAAAAAAAGGAGAGUUUGAGGAUAAAGCUGAAGGACAUCCCAGAAAAGAGAGAUGAAAACAAAACCAGGAAACAGAAAAGUAUUCAUUCCAAAAAGAGAAAAGCACAUGAGGGAGAGAGUAACAAUACAGAAAAUGGGCUCAGAAUUAAAGACACAGUUGCUGAAUUAAACCCCAACUACCUAGUACUAAGAGUACAAACUCGGAACACCACAGAUAAAGCAAUCUGAAAAACUUCCAAAGAGGAGGAAAAGGGCCAUGUAUAAAUUAACCAGAAACUAGAGUGCUCUGUCCUGACUGGAAGAGAAAGACCAAUGCCUUGUUAAAAGCAGGGGGGGAGUGAAAGUUAUUCUCAAUGGAGAAUUCUCUUCCCAACCAAACGACCCAUCAAGUAGGAGGGUAGAAGAGAGAUUUUCAGACAUUCAAGGACGGUUUUACCUCGUACUCAUUCCAUCCCAGCUAUGAAAGGAUGUGCCCUUCUAGAGUGAGGGAAUACAUCUAGAAAGAUGAUCACAUAGGAUCCUGGAAACAAAAGGUACAACAGAGAAGAAAGCAAAGAGAGCCCCAGAAAGACAGUGCAAGUAAGCCCCAUAAGAAGAGUGCAAUGGACUGGAUGUCUGCGGACUCCCAAUUCACCCCAACUGACACGCUGAAGCGCUCUCAAUGUGAUGUUAUCUGGAGGUGGCGCCUCUGGAAGGUGACUGAGUUUAGAUGAAGUCAUGAGGAUGAGGCCCCUGCGGUGGGAUGGGGGCCUGUAUAAGGGGGUGAAGGGACCAGAGCACUCAGUCCCCACCAAGACGGUACACAAGAAAGCAGGUCUGUAAACCAGGCAGACGGUCGUCACCAGAACCUGACCAUGCAGAUACCUUCAUCUCAGACCUCCAGCCUCCAGAACUGUGAGAAAUACAUUUCUGCUGUUUAAACCACCCAGUUGACAGUGUUUUUGCUCUGGCAGCCAGGACAGACUUGAGACAAAGAGUUCUAGAGCAGACUGGGGGAACUGGUAUCCAGACAUUCACUACAUCUCCAGAGUCUGGCUCACACUGGACACAAGACGCUCAGCAGGUAUUUGGUGAAUUUAUGAUAAACAGGAAAGUCUUUACGCACAGCAGGUAUCAAGAUACUGUGGCAUGAUUUAAUGCAGAAGAACACAGAUGACGAGGGCUGACAGACACGAGAUCCUCAGUAACUAACGAUGAGGGACAAGCCUGAGGUCCCUCUGGCUAGAAUAUAUUUUGGAAUGUAAAAAUCAGCAGUGUAUCUUGAGGAAAAAUAAGUAGCCUUCCAGACAAAGGAUGUAGUUGUUAUUUGUCCUUUACUCCCUAGAAAACUGAGUCCAUGACUACACAUUUUAUUCUUGGCUAUCAAAACCCUAUGCAUGGAGAGUGAUCUCCAAAGGGAGUCCUCUGCGCAGUGCAUGGUCUGCUGCACAUGACUGCUGCUUCUUACAGGCUCACCAGGACAUCACAUCCCCGAACACUUUCAGGACUACAUUUCUCAACAUCUUUUAGAGGCCAUCUGCGGCUAUGACUUUCAUAGUGUUGGACGUCUCGGCAAGCUUCACCCAAAACAGAGUAUGUAUGCUAAAGGCAUAAACACAAAGAAAAUUCUUGACAUUUGACUAACGGGCUUAUGGAAGCCUUAAAAUCCCCAGGAACGAUUACAGACUGAGAAUGUGAACUUAGAGGAAAGUUGUAGGUAUCUUCUGACUAACCUCUAAAAAUCUGAAUGAAAGGAAUGUUAUGUUAUAUCCUUUUUUCUUUUUAAAUGAAGAAAUCUUUUAUAAGACAGAGAUCGCGUGAGCGUGUGUGUUCGGGGGAACAGCACUUAUUUUGUUACAAAUGAGGCCAAGUCUAUGCCCAGACUAGCUCGUGCUCUCCCCUCCUGUAUCACCCCCAAAGGAUUUACUUAGCACACUAAUAUUACUACAAAAUAAACAUUUUAGACAAAGAAGCCACCCACCUGACAGACUGGAUGGAAAAGACACCUGCUAUGAUCCUAAGAAAAAUCUAAAUAAAUAGCUCCUUGUCUAAAAGAGCAAAUGUGGACAUAAGUACUUUACAGGUGAGCAGACAGAAUGUCUACAGGUGAGGCCAUGCACCUCCACAGAAGGGUACUGAUGCUGAUACUAAGACCCUGCCCAAAUCGGCUUCUGGUGGCACCUUUUGUUCAUUCAGCACAUUUAACAAAUGCCAUCAACUUCUAUACAAAGCCUUAUUGCAAAAUGGCUUUGGAGGAAAGGUAAGGAAAAAGGUUGUGAGCGCGCAACACCACCCCCCUCCAUCUAUCCCCUUCCACUUUUACCCCGUCACCUUUUCCACCUGUUCACAUCAAGUGAUCUUAGUGCUUUUGGAUCUCAUGUCUGCCUUUGUAGUAUUUUAGGCAUUUGCUUUUGCUCUGGGGAUCCCUUGCGAAGUUCUCCUCAAAUUAUCUUUGUUUUUAUCUUCACUAGUUCCUAGUUUCCUGCUGUCAUUUGGGUUUUGCCUUUAAAGAUGCCUGGUUGCAUUUAAGAAUGCUGCAGGUGAGAUGAAAUCAAGCCAUUUUGCUCUGGGGCACUUGAAUGAGGAACAGUUGGAUCAUUAAGGUGAACAUCUGUACCUUCUAUUAUGCAUUGUCCCUCUUUUCCUCAAAUUAUGGCUAACGUGCUGUUCACCACAAUGUUCCCCACUAAGCAGAUAAGAGGCAGGUACCAUUUAAUUUCUGGACUCCAGGCAAUUGCCUAGAUUCAACAGGAAUGAAGUCCUCUACCUUUAAGAGGUAUAAUUACGUGACUAAAGUAAGUGUUUAGCAAUUUAGUGGUAAUAGAAAUAAACUACUAUUUCUCUGUGAGAAAGUUCAGAAUGUAACAAUUUAAAAUAAACAUUCAGAAAUAAGACUAUAUGGAGACAUUUAUCGCUUUUAUGCUACUAGUGAGUUGUAAGACCUUGGAGGAGUCACUUGAAUUUGUUGGGUCUCAAAGUUUUCUCGUUUAUUGAAUGUCUAUAUCAUACUAAAGGUUCCUUCAGUGUGAAGAAUUCUAAGAUGGGAUCUACGUGCUAGUUUCAUAACCAAUCACAUAGGAUUCUAAAGUCAUGCUGUGAUGUUCUACCCAUCCAUCCUGAUAUGGUUGAAGAUACAGCAUUAGAAACGUUACAAGAUUCUACCUUCACUGAGUCAAACUGUUUGGAGCAUUAAAAGAUACCACUACAUCCCAGUUAACUGCUUCCGUCUUAUAAAAGCAAACCUCCAAUUCUUCUUUUUUUUUUUUAAUGGUUACUUACUUACUUAUUUAUUUAUUUGGGGGGGGGGAGUGCGAGGAAGGGGCAGAGUUAAAGAGACAGAGAAUCUUAAGCAGUCUCCACGCUCAGUGCAAAGCCCAACAUGGGACUCAGUCUUACAACCAUGAGAUCAUGCCAUGAGCCGAAAUCAAGAGUCAGAGGCUUUAACUGACUGAGCCAUCCAGGGGCCUGCAAACCUCCAAUUCUGCUAUAAAAAUAGUUAAGGAUAGGAGAUUCAUAACAGGUCACUGUAGUAAUUCCAUGCGGCAACAAAUAUGUAGUUUGUUUGUUACAAAGCAUUCAAAUUUAAAGAAAACUUCAUUAUUAUGUAGUAUAGUUCAAUAAUCUGUCACUCAGCACAUUCCUUCCAAGAAUAUUACAUAAUGGGAAGUUAAAAAGUACUGCAGGAGAAAACACAAAUCUGGCAUUCAGGUUUCUUUUAUAAUCACAAGGUCAUUUCUUGCAUAAAAAACAAGGAAGAAAGCCUUUUUAAAACACAUACAGCACCACUGAUGGUUUAAUUUCCAGUGUCCAUAAUACAGCUCUUAAGCUUUGUUCUAAAAAGUGUCCCCAUAACCUUGGACUCCGGAAAAGCCAUCUCCUGUACUGUGAGAUGUUUCAGAACUGUGACUCAUUCUAUGGUAAAUCUGAGAGGGGCUAACAAAUAUCAAGGUCACGCUAUUCCCAGGAACUUCUAGCCCAGCUGGGAACACCCAUCAACUACCCACAUCUAAUCUUCAGUUAACAAAUACCGACUGCUACAGUCUUCAUUAGCAAAUGUCCUUGGCAUCCUCUGCAAGGAAGGCCAACAUUCUCAUUAAGUCACGGUUCUCCCCAUUAACUGUUUACAUUAGUGUCCAUCAUUAAAUAUGUAUUUCAGCUGCAUCAACAGACUAUCACUGCUCCAGAUCGAUGGAUAUUUCUUCAUUCUGAUUUAUGCAGCAUUUCAAUUCUUUGCAGAGAAUUUUUCUUAUCCUUUUCUGCUGAAAAACGUUUCAAAGAAAAUAUGGGUUGCCUAAAUGUCAGGAGAUCAUAACUGGUAAUAGUUUCAAAAUCAUCUCACUCACAGUUUUAAAUAUCUAAAUUAACAUUCUCAUAUACCUAUAGGUAGGGUUUUUCCAGAGAAUUUACUGGCUGAAGCAGGACCUUUAGAGAUGAAAGAGAAAAUCUGUUAAUAAAUUAGGCCAAGAUCACUGGCGUAAACUGGCCUGUCCAUGGCUCUCGGGACAUAUGGUCACUCCACAUGCCCCUAUUAGGUCUCUCUCCUAAUGCGUUUGUAUAGGCUUUGCCAAUUUGCAUUCAAUUAAUAAGUUCAAGGAUUAGGUGCUUUGUAUUUUAAAGAGUUCAUUUAAAAAAGCAAAUUUUUUCAUGGGAAUUAUGCUGGGCCUCUAGUGGUAAAAAAAAAAAAAAAAAGAAAAGAAAAAUAAUGAGAGCUGUAUGUUUGUGUCUUGAUCCAUUAGUGCCAAAAUCUGAAAUCUAAAUACCUUUUUGAGAAGUCUGACGCAUUUCAAAAGACCUGAGAACUCAGCUUGGCAAACUAUUAUGAAAACUGUCCGUAGUAAGGUAAUACUUCUACAUAAAACAAUAAGCAAAGUGAUCAAACUGAAAUCAAUAGAGUCUGCGGGUGAACAUUUCGUGGUUUGAAUAGUCAACAGCGGCAGUGGAAAGAGAACGCCUUUAUCUGCAGUCAGAAAACUAUCUAAACUUCCAUCUCUGCUCUUUACUAAUGUUUGACCUUGUGGGAGUCAAUUAAGCUUUCCGGGCACUGCCUUUCCCCACCCUCCCCCACCCCCCACCAUAGAUAAAGAAGCAAAUGUGGCAGCAUUAUGAAGAAUGAAUGUAUGCACAAUUAUCUUCAAAAGAACAAAGUCUUGCGCAAAUGUGGCACCAAAUACUUACUGAACACAUUAAAGGCAUCCUCCGAGGCAGGGAAAAUCUAAAAGGUCAAGUACAAAGAAAAGAUAAGCUUGCACACAAAGAUAAAGCACACAGUGGGCAGCACUACCACCUGGGCCCUCAGCCUGCUCUUAAGGGAAGUGUAUGAAGGGCUCUCCCUCUGUAUAGGUGUUUCUCUAAAACCUGACUCACAGCAGGUGCCCGGGUCCAGUCACCGUUGGCCACCAGCUGGCCACCACAUACGCGUCCCCUCACAGUGCUCCUUCCUAACGCUAGUCCCUUUGUGGCCACAUACAGCUCUCACCCUGGAGCAAAUAACCAUAGGAAAAGCAACUUAAGCUAUAGCCUAAGGGAUCGCCAAAAAAAAAACAAAAACAGAAAUAAAACUAAAAACAAUCUUCCGGGGCAAUAUUGGGGAAGUGCACCAGGUUAGGGAAGUUGGAGGACAGGGACACAUAGGAACACAGGCCCAGUGGGUUCAGAUCUGAUUUUUUUACCGAAAAGGUAGAAAUAUGGCUAUUUUUGUAUAAGUUUCCUACUUUUUAUUUUUUUUAUGUUUAUUUUUGAAAGAGAGAGAGAAAGAGUGUGAGUAGGGGAGAGGCAGAGAGAGAGAGAGACAGAAUCCGAAGCAGGCUCCAGGCUCUGAGCUGUCAGCACAGAGCCUGACAUGAGACUGAAACUCACGAAAUGUGAGAUCAUGACUGGAGCCAAAGUCGGAUGCUCAACCAACUGAGCCACCUAGGUGCCCAUAAAGUUUCCUAAUUUUUAACUGUUAGCCACCAAUUCAAAUUUUAGAAUGAGAGACAGAGAAAUAUGAGCCCAAAUGAACCUGUGGGCCAAAUGUGGCAUACAAGUUCAUUUCCUUCUAGGAUUUUUUGAAGUCAAGAUUCCUGAUUUGUUGUGCAAUCUCAUUCUAAAUAAAGACAUUUUAAACCAUUUUAACUUGCCACAUUUAUCAAGUAAUAUCUUACACACACACACACACACACACACACACACCUAAAGAUCCAAGCAGGCUUUGAAUUGAAUGAUGAAGGUCCAGGAGCACCUGGGUGGCACAGUCAGUUGGUUAAGCAUCUGACUUCGGCUCAGGUAUGAACUCACACUCUCUCUCUCUCUCUCAAAAAUAAAGAUUAAAUUUUUUUUUUUUUUAAUGAUGAAAGUCUAAUGAGUUAGGACAACCCAGUGGAGUUGCAGUCACAAGACGAGGCCACCAGAGGAGGGCAGCAAGGCCAGUGGAGGGGGAGCAAGAGCACAGCCCAAUUCCUGUUCACUCCAGCCGUUUGAAAGUACAGCUUCUGCUUGAGAACCUGAUGGUAGAUAUCAUGGCUUUGUUUCACACAUUCAAGUCAGUAUUUCUGUCACACGGUGGUGAGGGAGUCUGCAUGGGGACUCCCAGGCUUAAUAAUCCUGCAAUUAACCCCAUGUAAAUCUGAGAAGGGGCUCUCACUCUGCAAUUACACAGGGUUGAGUUCCUACACUUGUCUUUAAGAAAUGGGGAAAGGGGAAGGAAAGGGAGUGUUUCCGGGGGAAGGGGGGAGCUCUUAAAUUCUACAGUAUCAGAUUUCUAGAGAAGUGAUACAAAUAAACAUUUUCUAAACAUAGGCAACCAACAAAGGAGCAAAGGCAAUAUAAGCUGAAGCAAAGAUAGUCUUUUCAGCAAAUGUUGCCAGAGCAACUGAACACUCACAAGAAAAAACAAACAAAAAUCAAUCUGGACAUCGACUUUACACCCUUCACAGAAAUUAACUCAAGACAGACCACAGACCUGAAUGUAAAAACACAAAACUAUAGAAGUCCUUGGAGAUAACCGGAGACAACCCAGAGAACCCUGGGUAUGGAGAUGACGUUUUAAUACAGCACCAAAGGUGACCCAUGAGAGGAAUAAUUGAGGAGCCGGACUUCAUCAAAAUUAAAAAACCUCUCAGCAAAAGACAAUGUCAAAAGAAUGAGAAGAAAAUCCAGAGGCUGGGAGAAAAUGUUUGCAAAAAACAUAUCUGAUAAAGGACAAGUGUCCAAAAUAUACAAAGAACUUUCAAAACUCCCCAAAGAAGAUAUGCAGAUGACCAAGAAGCAUGUGAAAAGAUGUUUUAACAUCGUAUGACAUUAGAGUAAUGCAAAAUAAAAUGAGAUACCACCACAGACCUAUUAAAAUGGACAAAAUCCAAAAUACUGGUAACAUCAACUGCUGGCAAGCAUAUGGAUCAACAGACCCUCUCAUGGGGCGUCUCGGUGGCUCAGGUUUUGGCUCAGGUCAUGAUCUCAUGGUUUCAUGAGUUUGAGCCCCACAUUAGGCUCUGUGCUGGUGAUGCGGACCUCUUAGAAUUCUCUCUCUCCCUCACUCUCUACCCCUCUCCCCCGCUCAUGCUGUCUUUGUCUCUCUCAAAAUAAAUAAAUAAAACUUAAAAAAAUAAAAAAUAAAAAAAUAUAGGAUCUCUCGUUCAUGGAUAGUGGGAACACAAAAUGGCACAGCCUCUAAAGACAUUUGGCAGUUUCUUACAAAAUUAAACGUACCCUUAACUGUUAGAUCUAGCAAUUACAUUCCUUGGUAUUUAACCAACUGAAUCGAAAAUUUAUGUCCACACAAAAAGCUGCACACAGGUGUAGCAGCUUUAGUCAUAAAUUCCCAAACCUGCAGUCAACCAGUGUGUCCUUCAAGCAGGUGAAUGAAUAAACUGUGGUACAUCCAGACAACGGAAAGUUAUUCAGCAAUAAAAAGAAAUGAGCUAUCAAGCCACGGAAAGACACAGAGGAAGCUCUAAUGUGUAUCAUUAAGCGAAAGAAGCUAAUCUGAAAAGGCCACUACAUACUGUACAAUUCCAACUAUAGGACAUCCUGGAAAAGGCAAAACUAUGGAGACAAUAAAAGGAUCAGUGGUUGCCAAGAGUUAGGGGAGAGGGGGUGCACAGAGGAUUUUUAGGGAAGUGACACUACUCAGUAUGAUACUACAAUGGUGAGAGAAUGCACAACAUCGAGAGGGAACUCUAAGGUAAACUAGGGACUGGGUGAUUAUGAUGUGUCAGUGCAGGCCCACCGACUGUAACAAAUGUACCAUUCUGUGGGGGUGCUGAUGACGUGAUCGUGGGGUUGGGGGAGAGACGGGUAUAUGGGAACACUACAGUCUGCUCAACUUCCCUUUAAACCUCAACUGCUCUAAAAAAUAGUGACUUAAUUUUUUAAAAACUCACAGGCAACCUAGCAGGAAAAAAAAAUCCUCAAAUUAUGUUUUAUGUUAAUGUUUUAUGUUAAUAAAAGUAGAUUCCAGGGGAAGAUAGUCAAUCCUUUUUCUCUGACUUGUUAUUUAUAAUCAAUUCUUUUGUUCUUCCCUUCCACUCAUUAGUCUACUCCCUGCUCUAAGCAAAACAAACCCUUUAGAGGAAUAUAUAAAAUACUCUAGGAUUCAGAUCCUUGUGGAAAGAGAUAUGUGGAAACAAAAUCCAAGUGAUUAACAAUUCACAAUGAGUUAAGAUUUUUUGGUCUUUGAAGACAGCAAACUAGAAAGCCCUAUAUAAAAAGAAGAGAUUUUUUUUUUGAGUAUUUGAACAUCUCAUUAGUGUACCUCCUUCCCUCCCUUCCUCGCCCUACACACACACACUCAUUUUAAUCCUUACAAUUUUAAACCCCUUAAGGGCAAAACCUACUUUUGCUCUAGGUGCCUAACACAAGCAGUUGCGCAAUAAGCACUGGCUGAAUAAAUGAAUGGGUGGAUGUUAUUUCUCCUACUUUACAAAUGAGGACAAAAAAGAUUAAUCACUUAACACUGUAAGUGGCUCCAGGCGAUAUUUCAACAUCACAAUGACAGAGAAGCACCUUACCCAACGGAAGAGGUGACACUUUAGGAAAGAGAAGCCACAUCGUACCACAUGUGCCAGGCAAAGCUACCCCUGUCCUCAAGCCAACCCUGCCCCUCACAUUCCCAGGCAGACCGUCCAGAGCUCGGUGGGCAGACCAGUCAAAGGCGAGACACACACUCAGCCCACCUCUGCCCCCUCCCUGGCCCCCGCUUCCCCAACUCCCAACAGAUAUGGCAACAGGACCUCAGAAGACAGCCCCUGAACGUGUAGAUUCUGUCCUCACAGACAUGAAAGAGGAAAAGCAUCUUUGAGAGAGGAUCUUCUAGGGGCACCUGGGGGCCUCAGUCAGUUAAGCGUCUGACUUUGGCUCAGGUCGUCAUCUCACGGUUUGAGAGUUUGAGCCCCGCAUCGGGGCUCAGCCUGCUAUGGGUCCUCUGUUCCCUUCUCUCUCUCUGCCCCUCCCCUGCUCU
rnacentral:lncRNA from 1 species